UACAGAGGUCUCAAGCGUUGUUCGGAUUCAUUGGGCGUAAAGGGUGCGUAGGCGGCGCGGUAAGUCGGGUAUGAAAUCUCGGAGCUUAACUCCGAAACUGCAUUCGAUACUGCCGUGCUUGAGGACUGGAGAGGAGACUGGAAUUUACGGUGUAGCGGUGAAAUGCGUAGAUAUCGUAAGGAAGACCAGUGGCGAAGGCGGGUCUCUGGACAGUUCCUGACGUGAGGCACGAAGGUCCAGGGGAGCAAACGGG
rnacentral:rRNA from 1 species